rnacentral:lncRNA from 1 species
CGAAUGAAAGCCUAUGCUAAAGUUCAAUUUGGUGCUUAUAGCUUUAUGAAAACUUCUCCCAAACUGGGACAUAAAUAUGGUAUCUCUAUCUGAUACUAUAGAAACUAGAACUAUGUGUAGUCUUACAAUCUGUUCAAUGUACAAACUUGCUAACUUCUCCAAUGACAUCCCAACUCUGAAAGAUAAUAAGUGAGCUAACUUCUUCAGUCGAUUAAUGAUCACCCAUAU